ensembl:lncRNA
AGAAAUAACCCAUUUUUAUUUAAGCAUACAAAAUAGACAUUUAGGUCUUUAUUUUACCACUAUAUCCUUUCAUGUCGGUAGAUUCCCCCUAAAUUGACCAUGAGUUACUAAUAGAUUCCCAUUUGCAUAUUUAAACUUUAUAUUUCAGAAAGGUUGUACCACAAAAAAAACAUUGGCUUAAUGUCUAUAAUCAACUGCGGAGGUUUUAUUAUAUCUAUUAGCCUAUAUUACCUUAUUCCCCUGUAGUGUCCUCAAAACUAUUUUAAUACCUUUUUUUUUAAUAUUCCAAGCUACAAAUCUCCCCUUCAGGAACCAUUAAAUACACAAAGGUUUACAGUUUCAGUCAAAUCAUGUUUCUGCCAAGGAGGUUGUUCAAAUAUCAUUCAGAGCCUAAUUUAUACAAUAACACGAUGAAAGUUGUUUUUAAUAUUCUGAUUUAAUAAACGUGUGAUAUCUUAAGAGCCCUCGGUAAAAUGAUAUCGACAAAAUGACACCAGCUCACUGCUGCCACCUUCUGGUCCUCUGAGGCAGCUCACCCUGCUCUGCUGGAAGUCCCUGCACAUAGUAACCGAUUUCGAAUGGUGCUAGACGUGUUGGGAACUCUGAACACCACACGAAAGCGGUCAGCCUGUGCGAGAAGCCGCCCCGGCGCCUUCGGUCCCUCUGGCCCCCCCGGGGGGCCCGACCUGAGAUCCACAGCAAACGACACUGAGGACUACUUUGUGAGGGAAGGAUUCCCGAUGCAUCCGGGGUAAAUGCAGCCGUCCGCUGAUGUGAUUCCCGGAGCCUGUUCCCGCCCAAGACCACCGAUUUCAAAUGGUGCUAGACAGGGGUUUGUACUCUAAGACACCAUCUGAAACCAGUUCCCUUGGGCGGAUGCCUUUGAGAAGAAACGUCCGAGGGGGGGUUUACGUCUCCUUCUGCAACAAGAAAAAAAACGUUAAUAUUCACAAUUAAUAUUCAUCGCUUUUGAACCCAUCUGACGACUGACUCCCAGUCAGACGCGGCAUCCUGCUGCACUGUGCGUCAGCAGCAACGAGUAGAACGCAUUUGACCAACGACGUCACUUUGAACCCUCAAAUAAAGGCGGCUCAUCCUAUCGCUCUGAACACGGUGGCCCGUUGAUCUUAUUGUCCGGUAGCAUGUUUUAGAGAUUCCUCAUCUGCAAGAACCCUAUUCGAAUGAAGGUAAAAAGACGAGGACAUCAGCCCCGGGACAAAUGGACUAAGACACUUUGUACUCGGUUGUGUUGGGGCUGCAGCUCCAACUCUUCAUGCCGAUGCUUGGUGCUUCUCUUCAUUGACGUGAUUUCAGAUUGCUUGAAGCGCGGCCCUCGUGUUUAGGCCUGGUGUUGAAGUUGAAUUCAAAAAAUGUUGGAUCAUCUCAACUUUUGGUUACUUUACUGCACAUAGAAUGACAAACGUUUGCAUGUUUAGAUUGAGAUUCCCGUUUUCGUUCCGCUCGUGUUGUCCCUUAAACCCUGCGAUUAUCUAUUAUUUAGAUUUCCCAGAGUCCGACGGACAGAAGUGAAGCCAAAAAACUCAUGCAGACUCUUCGCCGGCGAGAAGAAGCCCCGAGUCGCGUCCGCUCGGCGAGCAUCGGAUGGCCGUGAUCUCGGUGUGAGAAAAGCGCCCCGGCGGCAGCCCGGCACCAGGGAUGAAUCCUGACAAAAAACUGUCUAUGAACCCCACUGUGGAAAGGAACAGAUCCCCGCAGCUCCCUGCAGACUUCUUUGUAACGCACAAUAGGAUACGGUGUCCUCUCCCGGGUCCGCCUCCGGGCCGCCGCCCCCCCCCCCCGGGUCCCUGGUUGUUGACUGUGGCGCGAGAUGAAAAAGAGAAGAAACAAAAAACAGGUCCUAAAAUAGUUGAGGGUUGAUCAGUUUGAGGCGCUGUGAGGCGUGCGUGGCGUCUGCGCAGCGCUCGUUUUUGAAAUGACCGCACAACAACCGAGGCCGCGAAGGCAGGUCAACUCUUUCUGCCCCGUCAAGUGUCUCAGACGCUGCAACUAAUCCCAAACCUCCGUGUGUCUUUUGGGGACGACUUCCCUGUCUGUCGCUCCCUAAUCCUCUUCGCUGCUACUUUUUUUUUAUGGCUUCUGGAACGAGAGCAGUUGACUGAUUUCGAAGAUCCUCCAAUUUCCACGAGCGCUCCCGGUAUUCACAGGCGUGCGGCGUCGGCUCGGAGGAUAACUCCGGGCAGACGGUGCAGCGGGGAGGCCCGAGCCGCUGCUUUCACCCGUCUCCUCCUUGUUUGUGCUGCCCCGACUCCUCCCACGUCACCACGCUAUUCGUGAACUCUGCAUCCACCUCUCUGCUGCUCGCUUUAAUACAAGCUAUUGUGUGUGUGUGCGGAGGCUGCUUUCUGCGUCAAAGCUUCUUUCUUUUUUCUUUUUUUUUGCCAAGUCACCUGACCAUCUCACUGCUUGUUAAAGGCACAUCCGCCUCCUUUUUAAAACAAAAACAGAAAAUCCAGCUGAGCAAUAGGGAAGCUGCGUAUUGACUAACGGUAAACGCACAGAAAUAAUCCCUCCAGCAAAAACCUGUGGAUGAAAUGAUGAAAUGAUGAAAUGACACGCGGUGUUCUGUGCGCCGGGCAGAGCCACUGGGUCGGGUCAUGUUUAGAGUAGGUGAGGUGAGACCAGCUCUGAACGCCUGCAUGUGAGUGACAGGAAUAGUAAACAAGGUAGCAGGCUAAUCCUCUUACAGAUUAGGGCUCCUAAUUGAUCGGCAGGGUGAAGUGUUUUCUUCAACCGCCUCUGAACAUUUAAACAGUCGGUACAUUGAACGUCUUGGACGUAUUGGUGAACCUACAGUCGUUCAGCUGCGACUCGGACGCACCAAUCGAAGCGCUUCACUCUCCCGCUGACUCAAAACCGGGCCGAUGAUCUACGGCCCCCGUCCCUCAUCACUUCAGUUCGUCCCGUCUGCUGCGCGUUGGGAGGAAUGAAGCUGAGGGGGGAGAGGGGGGGGGUGGGGGGGGGGGGGGGGGGGAGGGGGGUUGGGGCGCAGAUGGAUGUGUUGAUUAGCAGUUUUUGUUCACCUUCUCCUGGCUGCUGGGAAAUAUCAGAUGUCUGGCUGGUAGCAGCGGCGGCUCUGCGGGUCGACUGACUACACACAGAAUGCGUAUGGAAAUGUGAAAAGCGCCUGCGGGGGUGUCUCCGGGAGGCGGGUCGGGUUUCUGACAAAACGCUGUCUCACUGAGACCCCCCCCCUCCCCCCCUCCUCCCUCCAGACUUGUUGCGUACUGUAUGUCCUAAAGACGGGACUUGAUGGGUCUGCACUGACAGGACUAAACAGCAUCAAUAGUUUCUGUGGGG